rnacentral:rRNA from 1 species
AUUGAACGCUGGCGGCAGGCUUAACACAUGCAAGUCGAGCGGUAACGGGAGGGAGCUUGCUUCCUUGCUGACGAGCGGCGGACGGGUGAGUAAUGCUUGGGGAUCUGCCUUAUGGAGGGGGAUAACUGCGGGAAACUGCAGCUAAUACCGCGUAAUGUCUACGGACUAAAGUGUGGGACUUUCGGGCCACAUGCCAUGGGAUGAACCCAAGUGAGAUUAGCUAGUUGGUGGGGUAAUGGCCUACCAAGGCGUCGAUCUCUAGCUGGUCUGAGAGGAUGACCAGUCACACUGGGACUGAGACACGGCCCAGACUCCUACGGGAGGCAGCAGUGGGGAAUAUUGCGCAAUGGGGGCAACCCUGACGCAGCCAUGCCGCGUGAAUGAAGAAGGCCUUCGGGUUGUAAAGUUCUUUCGGUAAUGAGAAAGGGGUGUUAUUUAAUAGAUGACACCAUUGAUGUUAGUUACAGAAGAAGCACCGGCUAACUCCGUGCCAGCAGCCGCGGUAAUACGGAGGGUGCGAGCGUUAAUCGGAAUUACUGGGCGUAAAGCGCACGCAGGCGGAUAGUUAAGUGAGAUGUGAAAUCCCCGGGCUUAACCUGGGAACUGCAUUUCAGACUGGUUAUCUAGAGUCUUGUAGAGAGGGGUAGAAUUCCACGUGUAGCGGUGAAAUGCGUAGAGAUGUGGAGGAAUACCAGAGGCGAAGGCGGCCCCUUGGACAAAGACUGACGCUCAUGUGCGAAAGCGUGGGGAGCAAACAGGAUUAGAUACCCUGUAGUCCACGCUGUAAACGAUGUCGAUUUGGGGGUUGGCUAUUAUGGCUGGCUCCUCG